UACAACAUAGCAUUAAUGCAUUAGAUCCCAUUAUAAAUCCACAGUUAAGUGCACUCAAGAUAGAGUAGUACUGGGAUGGGUGACCGCUCAAGAAGUCCUAGUGUUUUAC
rnacentral:rRNA from 1 species